AGACAGCAGCCGCCGCGGUAAUACGAAGGGGGCUAGCGUUGCUCGGAAUAACUGGACGUAAAGGGCGCGUAGGCGGGCGAUUAAGUCAGAGGUGAAAUCCCAAGGCUCAACCUUGGAACUGCCUUUGAUACUGGUUGUCUUGAGUCCGGGAGAGGUGAGUGGAACUGCGAGUGUAGAGGUGAAAUUCGUAGAUAUUCGCAAGAACACCAGUGGCGAAGGCGGCUCACUGGCCCGGAACUGACGCCGAGGCGCGAAAGCGUGGGGAGCAAACAGGAUUAGAUACCCCAGUAGUCCCUGUCUCUUAUAC
rnacentral:rRNA from 1 species